GCUGGGUAUGGUGGUGGUGCACACCUGUAAUCCCAGCUACUUGGGAGGCUGAGGCAGGAGGAUCAAAAGUUUGGGGCCAGGAUGGGCAACUUAUCGAGGCCCUGUCUCAA
rnacentral:sRNA from 1 species